GAGCCGAAGUCAGAAGCUUAACCGACUGCCCACUCAGGCACCCCAGAUAUAAUCAUUUUUAACAGUUCAAUAGAUGGUAGUUUAGCAAAAGAACUUUACAUUUAAUAAUGUAUUUUUAAAUUGCCAUUAAAAAUCAAUACUUAAUUAAAUUAGAAUGUGAGGGAAGGAGUUAAAGGUCUAGAGUAAGUAGGAGUAAAUAAUUUCAUCAUCAUGAAUCAGUGAAGAUAAAAUCAACAAGUUGUUAUUGACGACUUACUUCAUACUGCUUUUUGAGGAUAAAUAAUAUACCUGUAAAGAAACAAUCUAGUUUUUAAAAAUGGCUUCUAAGAAACCAAAGCUUUCAUAAAUGAAUAAAAAUUGAAAAUUGAAUAAAAAUUGAUAAUAAAUGCAACAAUUUACAUUAUAUCACUGGAAGGGAAAGUUAAAGCCUCAGCUACAGAGAAACUGUGAAAAAUAAGUGAUGUUAGACAAGUUAAUAUUAUUUUUUUAUUUAAACCUUUCUCAGUGGAACUAUCCCCAAAUAAAUACUGUGUUUUACUAUUUUCUUAAAUCAUUAUGCUGUGCUAUGUGCAUAUAGCUUGAGAUUUCGUUGUGUGUAGUGUGGAGCAUUGGACUAAGUAACUUGAUUUUGCUGGAUGGUGGCACUGACGUUUGCUCUUGUAGUCUUUAUUUUUCCCACUGCUUUCUCCUUCUCAUUUCUGCUUGUGCUGUUCUCCCACUUGUAACCAUCAUGUGACACUACUAGCCAAAUAGAUAGAGAUUUUCUUUCAAUCUUUUGCAUUGGGCAGAGUAGGCGCUUUAUUUCCUCUUCAUUUCGUUCAUUGUUGCUGAGUACUAAGGAACUCCUUCCUUGGCCACCAGAUACUUUCUUCCUGGCAUAUUCCCUCCCAUUACACUUGGGAGUCCUAUUAUGUGAAAUAAGUAAAACCAUGAUGGGCCCCACUGGGGAUAUUCAUGAGAACUCGAAAAUACGUUUCUUUGGAAAUGUUAACAGUACCAUUGAACUUCCUUUUAACAGAAGUUAUAUGCCAUUUUUAAAAUUUAUUCUUUAAUAAUGUCAAGGGAAUAAACUUUUAUUUUUCCUGUUAUUAGUCAUAUUACUAUUUUUUAAAAUUUUCUCAACAAAAUUUUUUUCACACUUCUUUCUUGGAAAUUAGAUGAUUGCAGAACUGGGCCUAGAUGCUAAGUCACUUCGCAUUCAAUCUGGUUCUUUUUAUUUAACUGAGAGCCACUCUUCCUUUUCUGUGUCUGCUUCAGUGAAGAAAGGAGCAGAUCAUCUGUAAAUGCCCCAUCCAUUCUUUAUUGCUAGGAGUUAUACUGAAGUUUUGGAACCCAACUGCCAAUCACUUUGAAAGUAUGGUUACAUGAGUUAAUGGUGAGCAUGAUACCAUGAGUUUUGCUUUAGAUAAAUUAUUUAGCUUCCUAUGGAGAUCAAAAUGGGUUAACACAGCCUCGAGGCAUCAUCUGAGCUUAUAUCAUUCAUGAGACAAGAAGAAUAUACCCGCGUGGCAUCAGAAGUGGUCCAGAUUGAUGACAGCGUGCUGGGCGCAGGCAGAGACAAAUGUCAAGGACACCGACACAGUCCUAAGAGAUCAAGAAGUAGAAAUGUAUCAUAUUUACAAUAAUCAAAUAUAAAUGAGAAGUCUGUGUGCCUAUCUGACAGUGAAUGGCAUUAUCCAUUGGUCCAGAGGGAACAGCAGGACCAGGCACUCCUCUUCAGAUCCCCAGGCCUCACCAAUCGGAACCAGGUCUUGUAUUUGCAGUUCAAAUGUUACAUUAUGUUAAAAAGUGCCAAAACUGGGGCACCUGGGUGGCUCGGUCGGUUAAGCGUCGGACUCUUGGUUUCAGCUGGGGUCAUGAUCUUGAGGUUUGUGACUUCCAGCCCUUCAUUGCACUCUGUGCCAACUGUGCAGAUCCUGCACAGCUCUCUCUCUCUGCCCCUCCCUUGCUUGUGUGCUCUCUCAAAAUAAAUAAGCAAACUUUAAAAAAGUGUCAAAAUUAUUAUGUUAGUGAUUGAUAUGAAAAAGUUGCUUUGAGGUAGCAUCCCUUCCUUUAUUUAGGAAAGUGCAUUUUGGGAGCUGGAUCUUAUGAUAGAUUGGAUUAUUGUUCUCUGCUCAUAACUGCUCCCUGUUGUGGAAUUAUACAGAAGCACAUUUUGCCAUGUGACAACAGUACCUCCCACUAGAGUAAAUGAAGAAUGUUUAUCAAAGUAAAUAAAUGUGGUGACUACCAGGUGAAUACAUAUUUUAUUCAUCAUUAUAUUUGGUAAAACAACAACAACAACAACAACAAAAGACAAACAAAAAAAUUAUCCCACUUGAGACAGGUAAUAUGUAUACAAAUUUCAGAAAUACUGUAUUUUGAAAUAAGAGAGAUUUCUUUAUUGUUACAGAAGUUAAAAAUAAUUAAAUAUUUUUAAAUAAUACACGAUCAAAUUGGCAUAUAGAUUCUUGCCAGAUUUGUUUCUUCCUAGAGGGUCCAUGUAUAACUACUUAGUGAUUACUAUCUCCAACAUAAAUUGCAGACUUUGAGAUACUUAAGAGAUUAAUCAUCCCAACAAAGUUCCAAUAUUUUUAAAGCAAGAACUUUAAAAAAAUUAAUUCUUAGCAUUCCAUAUACACAACAGAUAAAGAUUGUUGUGAUUACAAUUUGGAGGGAUUUUAUUUAAUUUUAUUUUAAAGUACAUACAUAAAAAUAGUUAAAAUCUUUGUUCA